CAAAAUGACUCUAUUAAUGCAAGCCAGAGUGGUAGACAUAACAGAGUGGCGACACUUCCAUUGGACUCAGUUGUAGCGCCUACUUCCGGGGUAUGGAGCCUCGAAUAGUUCCAAACAACCAUUUUACGGCGUAGAGAUCAUUCAUUUCCAUCGCUGGCCGUCGAGUAACUUCUGAGACGACCGAUUGCCUGCUGGUGUUAGCUCGACUUCGCCAUGUGAAGUUGCCUUAUUAGGUCCUCCACAGUCGCCCCAUCAGUCCCUGGCAGUCUGGUCCCUGGAGCAGCUGGCCCUGGCAAAGUUAUUCCUUCACUGUUGACCCCUGACUGACUGGCCCUCGGCACACACAUCCCUGGAUCACCUGCCCCUGGAUCACCUGCCCCUGGAUCACCUGCCCCUGGAUCACCUGCCCCUGGCAAAGUGGCCUCUUGAUUGCUCUCUCUGUCUCCUGUCAUGUCCUUUUCAUCGCUCUUGAAAUCCACCUCAAUUUCUUCAUCAAUCUCUGUAACAAUUACAAGGUAAUGUUGCUGUUAUAUGUUUUUUGCCUUUGCAUUUGCAACUACUGUCAUCUCCAAUGUAAGGCAAUGUAAGAAAAUGUAUUAGAGCGAAACAUUUCUGUAAUGUGAAUUAAAUCAUCUGCCACAAUCAGAAACCAAUAAAAUUUAUAAAUGGAUCUACCGGCAAUUGUUGAUUGGGUAGAAAUGUGUCGAUUAUCUACAUUGUGUGCAAAUCCUCAGAGAAUCCCUGACCUCUGGUUGUUUUUUGAACUGAAUGUACAAAUAUGAAUUAUGUAAUCUCAUGGGGAACUUUGAAUAUUUGGCCUGUUAAGCCCUUUGAGACUGUAAUGGUGAUUAAGGGCUAUACAAAUAAAAUUGAAUUGAAUAUUGUUAGCUGCAUGGAUCAUACCGAAGUUUAAUUUGGCGCAAUAUGUGUGGUCUGUUGCACUUGGUUCUGGAGGCAC